GACGAACGCUGGCGGCGUGCUUAACACAUGCAAGUCGAACGGUGAAGCGCCUUCCUUUUUGGUGGGUGUGGAUGAGUGGCGAACGGGUGAGUAACACGUGAGUAACCUGCCCCCUUCUUCUGGAUAACCGCAUGAAAGUGUGGCUAAUACGGGAUAUUCUGGGUCUGUCGCAUGAUGGGUCUGGGAAAGAUAUUGUUUCGGUGGGGAUGGGCUCGCGGCCUAUCAGCUUGUUGGUGGGGUGAUGGCCUACCAAGGCGGUGACGGGUAGCCGGCCUGAGAGGGUGGACGGUCACACUGGGACUGAGACACGGCCCAGACUCCUACGGGAGGCAGCAGUGGGGAAUAGUGCACAAUGGGCGCAAGCCUGAUGCAGCGACGCCGCGUGAGGGAUGGAGGCCUUCGGGUUGUGAACCUCUUUCGCCAGUGAAGCAGGCCUGCCUCGUUUGUGGGUGGGUUGACGGUAGCUGGAGAAGAAGCGCCGGCUAACUACGUG
rnacentral:rRNA from 1 species